CUGAUGUACGGUAGCUAAGCAUUCUCAAGGUCAGGAUGCUGUGUGUAUAGAAGUCCAUGGCCAAGUGUAAGAGUUGGCUGCAGAUGAAUUUUACCACUGGAGGUGGAAUCCAGAACCUAAAAAUAUAGUCAGCCUUCUGUAUCAAUGGGUUCCAUGGCUGCAGAUUUGGCCCACCAUGAGUUAAAAAUAUUUGGAGGAGAAACCAAGUCUGUACUGAACAUGUACAGACUUCUUUCUCUUGCCAUCCCCUAAACAAUGCCGUUAAAUAGCUCUUGACAUUGUAUCAGGUGUUGUCGGUCAUCUAGAGAGGAUUCGGAGGGUAUGGAAGGAUGUGGAGAGGAUCGCAUGUAUCCAUGCUCAUACUCUAGCUUUUUUACCUCAGGGGCUUUAGUAGAAAGCUCUUGGAUGAUGAAGUCUCUGGGGGUCUCUGGGACCCCGUUCAGACUUGAUGGCAAGGGACAGCUGCAUGUGUUUUCAGGAUGUCACUGAGGACAUUUGCUCUCUCAUCUAGAGGCCUGAAAUGUGUAGUUCAUCUUGCUCACCCUAUUAUUUUUCUUGAAGCGGAUGCAGAGAGAAAGAGAGAGAGAUCACACACACACACACACACACACACACACACACACACACAC